UGUCUAAAUAAAACAUAGCAUUGCGAUGGCCAGAAGGUGGUGUUGACGCAAUAUGAUUUCUGCCCAGAGUUGAAUGUCAGUAAUCCAAUCAAGCACAGAAUGGCGGGAGUGACUAUGACUCAAAUGGUAUAAAGAUAAACGUUUUUCACAAGAUCAAAGU
rnacentral:ncRNA from 1 species